GUGCACCAGUCGAGAAACCUCCGCAAUACACGAAAGUGUGACGGGGCCAUCCCGAGUGCCGUCCGCUGAGGACGGCUUUUCCCCAGUGUACAUAGCUGGGGGAAUAAGGAGAGGGCAAGCCUGGUGUCAGCCGCCGCGGUAAUACCAGCUCUCCGAGUGGUGGGGACGCUUAUUGGGCCUAAAAGCAUCCGUAGCCGGCUGGGCAAGUCCUCCGUUAAAAUCCAACGAUUCAAUCGUUGGGCUGCGGGGGAUACUGUCCAGCUUGGGGGCGGGAGAGGCCGACGGUAUUCCCGGGGUAGGGGUGAAAAUCCUAUAAUCCCGGGAGGACCACCAGUGGCGAGGGCUGUCGGCUAGAACGCGCCCGACGGUGAGGGAUGAAAAGCU
rnacentral:rRNA from 1 species